UUAUUUUUUACAGAACCGAAAAAUAUAUUUCGAAUUAGAGAGAUAAAGAGAAUGAUGAUUCAGAGAAGAAUCAUGUUCGUUGAACAUAACAAGGCAUAGUCUGAAGAAACGUGAACCAAAUUAGGAAGCAAGGAUGCGGAACUGAUGCUAUUUGAAGAAAAACACUAAAUAUAGGUUAAAUCGAAGAUAAGCAAGGAAGUUUGCAAAUGAAUAGUACAUGUUAUAUGUUCAUUUAUGAAAGUGUAUAUGUUCAUUAAUGAAUGUGUAUAUGAUCAUAUCUUAAACUUCCUCCAUUUCUUUUUACUUGCAACACAGCCUUGUGGCACGUGUUUUGAGGUCGGGUUUAUGUAAUGUAAACGGAUAAAUUAUUCAUUAUAAUUUUUACAAAUGAUACUUAACCCUAUUCUAA